rnacentral:rRNA from 1 species
CCUACGGGAGGCAGCAGUGGGGAAUAUUGGACAAUGGGCGAAAGCCUGAUCCAGCCAUGCCGCGUGUGUGAAGAAGGCCUUCGGGUUGUAAAGCACUUUCAGUGGGGAAGAAAGCCUUGGGGCUAAUACCCUCGAGGAAGGACAUCACCCACAGAAGAAGCACCGGCUAACUCCGUGCCAGCAGCCGCGGUAAUACGGAGGGUGCGAGCGUUAAUCGGAAUUACUGGGCGUAAAGCGCGCGUAGGCGGUCUGAUAAGCCGGUUGUGAAAGCCCCGGGCUCAACCUGGGAACGGCAUCCGGAACUGUCAGGCUAGAGUGCAGGAGAGGAAGGUAGAAUUCCCGGUGUAGCGGUGAAAUGCGUAGAGAUCGGGAGGAAUACCAGUGGCGAAGGCGGCCUUCUGGACUGACACUGACGCUGAGGGGCGAAAGCGUGGGUAGCAAACAGGAUUUAGAUACCCGAGUAGUC